ACCUGUGAACCGCUUUUUUCUCAAAAGCCCUCCUUUCUUAAAAGCAACCCUCAUUUCUCAAAACUCGAUUUUCUUAAAAGUUGCCUUCUUAGACAAACGGAGAAAGGGUAAUAAUCAAAACAGGCUGCCGUCUUGACUGUUUGUCCGGCCAACCUGUUCGCCGAAAUUGGUUUACAGAUCGUCCUUCGAUCGAAUUCAAGCUCAAAAUUCUGAAAUCUCAUCUACCAGUCUCGGUUUUUUCUGUUAUGAUUUUAGUUUCGGGUUCAUCAGUUUUGUCACUGGUUCGGGGGAUUUGGGGGUUCUCUUCGUCUCAACCAGUUCAUUGAGAUCAGUUUUUGGCUUCGAUUUUUUUUUUGAUAUCGUGUUUGGAUUGGAUCUGCUAUUUGCGAUUACAAAAAUCCUUUUUUAUGUAGGUUAAAUUAUCUGAGUACAUCGGCAAGAAGUACGUAAUUCUUUUUUUCUACCCACUAGACUUCACAUUUGCUUGCCCUACAGAUUGUUUUUUCCCCCAAAAUCUCUCUGUUACCAAUUUCAGAUUCUUCUAAUUAGUUUGCACGGCUAUUUUGGUUGUUGAAUGUGCUGUUUUAAUGUAAUUUCUUUUCCUGUUACUGUAGAGAUCACUGCUUUCAGUGACUGUUAUGCAGAAUUUAAAAAGGUGAAUACAGAAAUAUUGGGCGUUUCGUAGACAGUGUGGAGUGAUAGGGUUGGUUUAAGUUGGUCGGGGCUGGAUAAAAGGAAAUGGUAGUGCCACACACCGAGCCAGGUUGGUAGUUCAGCUCAACUCAUUGAAUUCGAGCUAAGUUUGGAUAAAUUCAUCGAAGUUCGGAUUAGUUUACCUGGAGAGAAGUCAUUUAUGCUUGGUCAGAACCCUUGUCCAAGCAAGACCAUUUCCUGGAGUGGAGCCCUUGAUUGUUGCUUGUUGGGUUCAACUUUCCAGUAUCUUAAUCUCUGCACUGAAGGGAUGUUAUUGCGGAGUGGUUGGAUUUUCUCAAUCUUUUCCACUUCUUCUGCAGCAGUCACUGAAAUAGCUUUUGGCUUAUGAGAAACUUCCGUGCAAAUUUUGGUGCCUCAGUUAUGGACUUGCUUUGCAAUUGUUCAUUUAUAACAUCGGAUGAUUUUUGUCGCUAGUCUCUUUAGUACCUUUUUGAUCAUCUAUUAUUGAUUUCAUGUUGUUGCUCUUGCAGUUCUCCCACUAUAUUCCUCUAUUCAUUUCAAUACAGAUAGACUUGGGAGGCUUCAAUUUCUUGCGAUGGGACCAAUAAUUUCCCCGUUAUUGUUGAUGACUUCUCAGACACCAACAUUAUUUGCUGCAGAAAAUAAGAAGGGAUUUCUGCCUAUCACGAACAAGAAGGAUAAAUACUCUUUCCUCUAUCCUUUUGGAUGGCAGGAAGUUGUUGAAGGUGAAGAUAAAGUUUACAAAGAUGUUAUUGAACCACUAGGAAGUGUUAGUGUAAAUGUGAUACCAAGCAGUAAAGAGAACAUAUGAGACUUUGGUUCACCACAACAGGUUGCUGAAACUUUAAUAAAAAAGUUUUUAGCGUCGCCUUCUCAAAAAACAAAACUAAUUGAAGCAUCAUAGCCAAGUGAUGUCUCUAGUGGACCUCUUUCGAAUGUGAAUGGAAGAUCAUCUGGUGAUAGUUAUUCUAGUGAUAAUCAUUGAAAUUUGUAAUCGUAUUAGUAAUUAUGACAAUGUUAUCGAAUCGCUGUUGGAGAAGUAUUUUGUGUUUAAAUUAGUUUUUAAGACUAAUGACAAUACUUUUGUGGUACAUUUUUAUGAUCUAAUAUAUUUUGAUUUUUGUUGUUA